UACUAUUCCAACGAUCCCUCAUCCUUAUUCUUUCUCUCUCCUCCCGAUGGAAAAGGAGCGGUCCUUCCUCAAAAAAUACUCACGAAAGUAUCUUCCUAAGCCUUCUCCUUCCAAUCCUCUUCGAUCUUCCAAUGUCGGUACUACAAUCUGCGUACAAGCCAACACCGAUCUUCCAAUGUCGGGACUGCAAUAUCUGCGUACAAGCCAACACCGAAGCCGUCUAUCACCCCUUCCGAUGCAUAUGGCUUGCUGCGCCGUCCAGGAAAUUAUCCCUGCACAAUCCGAGCUACAGCUCGAUGGUCAUGGUCGACCCGCCGUGUCUGCUGCCGUGCCGCCUACUUCUACUCAUCCGCCCUCAGCUUCCAAAAUCCACCAGCGCUUCGGAUCUAAAUCAAGCCAACUAUCAGAUCCGUCAUCUAUCUAAUCUCUUUGAAUUCCAUGUUCUCACCUGGCUGCAAUCUAACGAUGGUGAUGGUUCAUGCAAGGUAGGGUAAGGAGUAGCGAUGUUGUCCUUAAGUAUGUGGUCCUCCUGUCGCAUGUGGUGUGUUGAAUACCUUCUCGGAAAAAAAAUAUGGUGUAUUGAACGUUCGAGAACCUACUAGGGACUGGCGGCAUAGAGAUUUACCUGUCCAAAGUCAAGUUCGUUCUGGGUUGUCCAUCUCCAUAGGCAAGCACCAUAUCCGUAAAUUCCUUGAUUAUCCUGCUUGAUUUUUCUCUAGCUAUAACAUAACACCACAUAUCUCUUCUAUUAUUACAAGUACAAUUUGCGCAAAGCCAAGCCGCUUAUUUCAAAGUCGCUAGAUCAUAUCAGUAGAUAAACUGGUCAUAUUUCUUUUCCUUCUCAGCGAGAUAUGUUUCCAUGGUGAAUUUGUUUGUUUUGUGCUGGUAGAUGAUUCCCAGGUGGUGGUUCGGAGAACAUGCAGCUGCCUUAUAGAACUAGGAUUGUUGUUCAAAAGUCUGAACAACGACCCGUGCCUCUUCUGCCAUGCCAACAUUUGCCGGAUGUCUCCCAGGCCUUCAUGGCAUCUAAUCGGCUGUGUCCAAGUACACAAGGGAACAGCCAUUACAGAAACACAUGAAGAUCUAAGGGCGGAAGCAGGAGUGAGCUCAACAGAAAUUGAAAACAUGUCGGACAUGCUGGAAGUAGGGACAACGGGCAGAUGAGAGGCAACUUAAUGACAGAUGCUUACGCUGGUACGUGCUACGGAGAUUGGAUAUUAACUACUAUAUAUUCACUAUGAAAUUAACAUGUUGCUUCAGGCUUAACUCCUUUGACGGCUGGGACUGGAUCAGACAUUUUGCUGCGGUUCUGCAAUACGUUUAUUUAUUUUCUCAAAGGAACUAAUGAUCACUUUAAUAUUUUUUUAGCAAACUUUUUGAUUCUCUUUGAGAAGAAAUAAUCAAUUUUUAGACCAGUGUAUAAAUGACCCUUGCAGGAGGGAGUAUUUACUAAGAUAAAAAACGAACAAUAGUCAUGAAUAAUUUCGAUUGGGAUACUGUUUAGCAAGCUACUUCACAGCGUCACACACGAUUGAGCCAGUGUCCUAAUGGUAUAUCCCAUAUAUCAAGAUUAUUAUCUGAAUCUGGAUAAUUCGAUUAAUAAACCACAGAUGGAGGAGUUGAAAUAUAGGCAGGCCGUGUCCAUACACACCUUUCUUCCCAGCUACUUCCCGGCCAGAAUGUUCAGCGUGACUCAGGCUGGGUGUGGAUCUUAUCUUCUUGUCAAUAAAAGAAGGCGGCGUUUGGCUCAAGCGCCUGCUACAACAUCUCCAUCCCGGCGGGAAAUUCCGGUGGAGGCGAUGGUAGAGACAUAAACAAGUGCCGUAUCUACAUCUCCGUCCCAGUGUUGAACCCUAACGGCUGAGGAAUGUCCAUCUGUACCAUAUCCAUCGCAAUGGCCAACCCCGCUGGCGGAGGCAUUUUCUACAUAUCAACUAAAUUCCAACGACUAGAAGCCAUUGAUUAAUUAUUACUAUGAUAAGGAGACAAAAUAAUGAU